rnacentral:tRNA from 1 species
UCCCUGGUGGCCCAGUGGUUAGGACUCUGUGCUUCCACAGCAGGGGUCACAGGUUCAAUCCCUGGUCAGGGAA